ensembl:lncRNA novel transcript
ACAGAGCUAUGUCAGCGGUACAGGCUCAGAAGGAAGCCAUCUCGGUCUCUUUCUGGUCUUCAGUGCACAGUGGCCAGGACAGCCUCCCCCACUUCACCGAAUCACAUUUCUUCAGCAGUUUCCAACAGUGAAAUCAUUUCUAGGACAAUGGCUGCUAACACGUGUCAGCUGAAGCACUGCAGAUCGAGUCAUCCAACUCAAGCUUCUUCCUCUUAUUGGAAGGGAUAAACCAGGUAAGACUUUUUAAUCCAGAAAUUAUUCCUAUUCCCUGCAAUGUAUAGGGUGCUUUCUAUCUGCAAAACUCUAAACUCAAAUUUCUGCAGGUUCAGAUUCCAACUGUCUCAUGCGCAGAGACUCUCCCAUCACAAAAUUCUUCCCGCUCCAGCCAUCAUCUGUUUCCUCCUCAGCCUUUCCCUUGAAAUCCAGAGCCCUUUCCUGUCCGUUAGAGGCAAUCAGUCAUGUUUCAGUGAAGCUUGAGGCACUGGGCCCCCCAGUGAACAAAACCAGACAUCCUGACCCCCUACUCCUGCGGUCUGUGCAGGGCUUGCUUUAGCAUGCUUGGCUUGUGGGGAGGGGGUGUGGCAGCCAUUCCCACACAAGGUCACGCAGGGAUGCCACAGUGCGUUCAAGAGUAGAAUCCACAGCCUUCUCUCCGUAACUCUGGGCCUUGCUGUAAAUAGCAGAGGCUUGGGCUGGGGAUCCUGUAUCACUGGACGGGAUGUGCCAAUGAAGAGAAGGCUGAGAAGCAAGUUGGUGUAGGAGAAGCCCAGUGCUCCUGGUGGACACAGGCCUGCAUUCAACCAAAUGUCUGAAGACAAGCGAAAGCCUACAGCCCCAAGCGCAAUGAUCUUUCGUCACUACAGGUUUCAGAAGUCUUACCGCACGGAGCCAGUGGUUAGCAGGUGCUUGAUACAAACAUCCUGCAGGGAGGCUGUGAAGAUUCUAACUGCAGCACUUACGGAGGAGCACUUUAGCGUGCGGUAGAUUUCCUAGAUAACCUGAGGUCUUAAGAAUUCAUGCGGCAGACUCCGCUUCGCUUCUGGUUCCUUUCAUUUGGAGUCUGCCUAACCAGUUUUUCUCUUAAGUUCCAAGACAUCUUCUUCCUGUUGAGUAGAACCUGUAAAACACGCCACCUGUCUGCAGGCGAACAGAGGCUCUGAAGGUUCCAAAAUAGCUAAGCCCACGAGCUGUCUCCAGCCCCCAUGGAGUCCUGGGAUUCUCACCAGAUCCAAAGAUGACAGGAAUGGGAACCAGUUAGGCAGAGGAAGCAAGACUUGAGAGACUGGGAGUGGGGAAGCCGCCAGGCAGUGGGCAGCAGGCCUGCGCUUGUGAGGAAUGGGAGACAGGAAGUGGGUGUCCACAGGACAGAGACGGAGGGGGACAGCACGAUGGUCACUGCAUUCAACCAAAUGUCUGAAGACAAGCGAUCCAGCCCCGGGAUCCCGACACCAGUUGCUCUGUCUCACCAGAGAGCCUCUCUCCAGGCGGACCACCUGUCAGCCUGCUACUGCCACCUUUCACUCUGCCCACCUGGAGCUGCUGGAGUGUAGCCACCACGUGAGCUUCUAGCUUUUGUGUUUGAGCCUUUGCCAUUAGAGAUUGAAUUUCCUCACACCUGCGGUUGCUGUCGUGCCUUGAUGGGGUUUUUAUCCCCAGGCAGAUAGUAACAUAUCCUGUGACAGCUCCCUGGGGAAGGCGGAAACCAAUUUCAGAGAAAGAGGCUGAGCGCUUGCUAGUGCAGGGAGGAACUAAGAUGACGAAGCAUCGCACGGAUGAGUCGUGGCCUUGCCGGCUUGACGGCGGGUAGAAUGCAGUGCCACCCUCCCCAAGACCACCAUCUGGCCAGGAGCCCCGGCCCCACCUUUCCUCCUUCGCUUGUGCCUCCUGGCACUUCCCGCAGCCCUCCCCUGUUGAGUGUAGGCGUUCUGCCCGGGGCAGUCGCUGUGAGAGAGGCCAUGGCCUGGACUAGGGUGAUGCGAAGAACAGAACUUGCUACCAGAUUGGAUGCAGGGUUGGGGACUCCACAGUGACUCCACACUUCUUAACCUGAACAAUGAAUUGCCAAAAUAGAUAACAGAAGAAAUUGGGGAAGAAGAGUUGUUCUAGCCAAUAGAGCAGCUAAAGCCAAAAAAAAAAAAAGUCUUCAGUGAUGUAAAGCCUUGCAGAGUAUGCGAGAUGACCUGGACAGUGAGAGGCAGGAGGAAGACUGCUCUGUGGUGCUCUGAGUGUGAAGGCAUUUGUCAUGCGCAUCCCCCACACAGCCACCAUGGGGCUCUGGUUAGGGAUGGAGCCCCCUGAGUCCGAGCUGCUUCAUCUGAAAUGGGGAUGAAGGUGCCUCAUAGAAAGUAUUGAGUAAAUAUGAGGCGCUCUUCUGGUUUACUGUGUUCUCAUAUAUUUCACACACAAUGCUCAGAGAGUUGGAAUACAGUUAAAAUCAUUAGAUCUGUACGCUGUCAUUAUUCAAACCACCACAGCUCCCGGUUCAUCAUUAGGAAUACUGGUUCUCUCCCCUCUGCUGAGGGGUGAUUUCCCCCAUCCAGGGUCUUGAAAUUUUCUUCUACACACUGAAAGCCUUAGCACAAAGCUCCAUAUGCAGAGGGGGAUGGUGGGUGACCCUGCCCAUGCAGUUCCUCAUUUUGGCUUCUUAAGGCCAAGAAGAUCAACCUCUACCCAGAUUCUGCACACAAACCAGUGUUGACGUUUUUAUUUUUCUGUACUUUUUUUUUCCAUAAUAAACACUGCAUGUGCCCUCUUUAACUUCA